rnacentral:lncRNA from 1 species
AGGAGGGGCCAGGGAGCCGCCUGGAACCUUUCUUCCCGGCAGCAGCCGUGCUGGGCCUACUUCCUGAUUCACACUGAUCCUAGAAGGCACCACAGAUGUGGGAGAAGGUGCCAGCAGCCUUGGCAGCCAGGGAGAUGAAGACAGCUAUUUUCAAUGCCAUGGAUACAUCAAGCACAUGCUGGAGACUGGGGAUACCAAGGGGAUUCUCACAACAGUCUUAUGGGGAGACAGCGGCCAGGCCUGAAGGUCACCAAGUGGCGAAAGCGACGGCAGGGAAGCACAAGGAGUGCAGGAAGGGACCCCUCGCCCAGACCUGCUCUCCCCAGAAAGGCACAUCCAGUGUGAGAGAAGAUAAGGACUGCACAAGUGAAAUGGAAGAGAAAUGAUUGAAUGCAGUGAGGCAGGAACCAAGGUCAUGGAAGUUCAGAGGAGACAAGAAGCUGGGAGUUGGGGAAGCUUCAUGCUGGAAAGAGUUAAACUG